GCAGACGUAGCUCAGUCGGUAGAGCACCGCGCCAGGAGGCAUGCGCUGGUUCAAGUCCAGCCGUCUGCACCA
rnacentral:tRNA from 1 species